CACCCUUAUAAGCUUAAUAACUCGACUCAAAAAGACUAUGAAGAGAAAUUAUCAAAUAAAAUAUUUUUUAUGCAUUGAUUAGUGCAAGCCCCUCAUUAAACACUCAUCCAAGUAAACCAACCUUUAACUUGAGAUUUUCACCCAAUUUCAUCUUACGUCAACCUUAGGCAAUAUGCAUAAGAUUUUUAGUUUCACACAUGAAAUCCCCAUUUCUUUCAACAUCUUCCUGCAACAGUGAAAUAUCCCAAACUAUUCUAAAUUUGGUCUAAGAAUGGAAAAAUUUGUGGUUUUGAGUUUAACAUCUAUGGUCCACUAUUUCAAAUUCUAAUUAUGAAAUCAACUCAUUCCUACACAAUGCUUAAUUUAAUUUAUGUGCUCAGUAUAUAACAAAUUUCACAUGGAAAAGUAAAAAUUAACUUAAGCGUGGAACUUAUUCACCAUUCAUGGAUCAAUUCAUAAUUCAAUAUAUUCAUCAUUGUCAAACAAGCUAACUAAC
rnacentral:lncRNA from 1 species